AGGAGGUUAAACUUUGCCAGAGCCAUCCCGAGCCUCUGGAGCCAGGGCUGGUGGUGACACUGGGAGGGGGCAGAGAUGGACCUGCCAGGGCUGGGCUUCCUCAAAUGCCGUGGCACGAGGAUUUGAGGAUCUCACCAGGCUUGUGUGACACCAAAUUGCUGCCCCAGGGGCGUUGGAGGUGACUUUUGGAGCGGCCCCUGCCCUCAUCCCGCUCUCCUCCAGCACAUCCAUACCGUGUCCACCCCACUCAGAUGUUCCCCUCCUGUCCUGCCAAAUUUCCAGCUGCUGCAAAUGAAUGUUUAAGUUGCUCUGAGCUCAUUGUCGAGGCAAACAGCUGGCGCUGCUGGAAUAUAGGAUUUCAGCGCUCUGAGUUCAAGGGAAACGGGAAAAAACCCUUUUUUGUGGAGCUCUCAAGGUUUAGCUCCCACCAGGGGCGAGUGGCUUUGUGUCCUGGGCAUUCCGAGUGCCUGAAAAUCCUCCCGAAAUUCCAAUUUCCUGCUCUUUAUUGCUCGGGGAACAUUCAGCCUAAUUGGGGGAGCAGUGGAAGGGGAAUUGCACCAGGAGGAAGAAUCCUCUCCUGGUUGCAGCCAGAAGGUGGAAUCCGCAUCUCCAAACUCUUUUCAACCCUGGGCACGUUGUUCACCAUGACCAAAAUGCUUUCCCUCAAAUGCAGGUGCCGACUCUUGGGUGCAUCCCCAGCACCUCCCCCUCAGCAGGGAGAGUCCAAGGUGGGAAUUGUGCUGGCAGGAUGGGCCCUGGGGUGUUCAAAAAACAAAAGUGGGGGAGAUAAGGAAGGCAAAGGCCACCUUGCCUUGUUUCCAGCAGCCCUGACUGCGUUGUCUCUCCGCUGAACAUCCUGCUCGGCAGCUGAGCCCUCUCCCCAGGGCUUUUCCACACCCCCUCUCCUUCCUGCAGGAGAACGUGGCUCUGCAGAUGGAGGUUGUUUGCUUUGUGGUUACGGAUCCGAGGAGAAAAUAAAA